AUGAUACUGAAUAUAAAAACAUAAAUGGCAGUACUAGCACUGUGAUUGAAGCAAAUAAAAUUCCUAUUAAAACUAAGUCCAAUAUCUGAUGUUUCAAAAAUCACUUUUUUAACCUUUUAGUAAGAUGGACUCUGCAAGAAUCAAAAUUCAAAACUCAGACCACCCUUCUUUAGAUUUCAUGUGAAUCUUAUGUAGCAAAUUCAAAUCAAUUUAACUUAUGUUUUAAAAUUAUUUCCUAGAAACCAAUUAUCUGGGUUAGAAGUUGUAACUUCCUUCAAUUCCUUUGCACAUGAUAAAAUGUGUGAGUUAAUUAGAAACUGUCUUUUGGUCUUAGGUAAAAUCAUUAUCAAAGCUCCUGAAUGAGCUGCAAAAUAAUAAGCACUACCUGUUAAGAAGCUUGGUGGAAAAUGUCAUGCAAGUGAGGUCACGUGUUGGUGUUCAGUAUAGACUGGUAAGACCUUGCAGUGGGUUUCCAAUGAGCAAGAAAGCAAUUGGAGCAACAGGUAUAGCCCAGACCUUUCGACUUACAAUACAGAAACAGCAUUUUCCAGUCAGCUGCAUGUUAAAAUGUACCUUGUGGGCAUUUACCCACCGGGAACAGGUUUUGCCUUCAUUGACAAGCUAGGCCAAGCUAGGCCACUGCUUUGAGGAUGUGGGUCUUGAAGAUGACGCCUUCACUCUCUAAAACCUAAAUAAAUUCUGUUUCCUGUGACCCACUGGUGGAAGUGUGGAGGCCUCUGCCUCUCCUUGAGGUCACCCUGCUUUGUUUAAUGUCACAGGUUAAGAACGUUCCCACUGGGUUUUUUUGUGUAUGUGGGGUUUUUUUGUUUGUUUUUUGUUUUAGGGCCACAAACUUGCCAUAUGGAAGUUUCCAGGCUAGGGGUUGAAACGGAGCUGUAGCUGCUGGCCUCCACCACAGCCACAGCAACUCAGGAUCCAAGCUGCAUCUAUGACCUACACCACAGCUCAUGGCAACACUGGAUCCUUAACCCAAGAGGACCCGAACCCACAUCCUCAUGGAUCCCAGUCAGGUUCAUUACUGCUGAGCCCAACAAAACUCCUCAGGUUCUCAUUCUUAACAGAUGGUGACAGUACCUACCACAAAGGUUUGCUGUGGGGUUUAAAUGUACAAGAUGUAUGGAAGAAUACCUAACAGAACAGAGCAUAGACCAUGGAGCCAGACGGUCCUGGGUUCAAAUUUGUCUUUUACCAUAUACUGCUCUAUAUCUUUGAUUUAAUUUUCUUGCCCAAUAAAUAAAAAUUAAAUACCUAUCUCAUAGGGUUAGCUAUUUAAAUGAAACAAUAGUAUCUAGCACAUAAAACACUUCCAAGAAAGAUAAGUAACAGUAUUAUUUACUCCUUCGUGGUGCUUCCAGGAGUAGCAUACUGCUCACAACCCAAAGUAAACACAACUCUCAGAAGGAGGCAAAAUCUGAAUUUAAAAAAGAUAACACUACUAAAAUUAUUAUGAAGUACUACUCCAGGAGAUUAAAAGCAAUUCUAAACUGUUAGAGCUCUCAGAGGUCCCUUGAUCCAGCUCCCUGACUGUAUAGAUGGCAUAACUGGGACCUAAACUGUAAUAACACAGCCAAUUAGCUGACAAGCAGGACAAAAAACCCAGAGGUCCUGAGGACCUACCUAGCCAGUGUUUCUGACACAGCAUAUUAAAGCAGCAAUAAUGCUGUAGUUAGGACUUAUUUUUUUAAAUGGAGUUUCUGGAUAAAACUGGAUAAAAUAAGCAGGUGCAAUUAUUUUCUAGCCUUCUACAGAUAGAAGACUAGGCUUUUGAGAAAAUUAGCACCUUUCCAUCUGGUUGUGUUUCAGAUUUUGAAACAGGAAGGUUUAGGACCGCAGCUUCCUGAAACAUCUCCUAAUUAGGAUGCCAAACGCUCAGUGUUCCAGGGCGAGAGCCCCAGUUCAUGUCUGUUGCCCUCUUGUCCCACUGGAUUAACACGCCACUCCACCCUCAAAAGUGUCCUCGUUUGGACAGUGAACUCUGUGAUUUCUCCACCCACACUGCAAUCUCGACAAGUUAACGAUAAGAGAAGAUGCUAAGCUUCCACGUCUUCCUUUCCAGGAAAUAAGUGGAAAUCCGAUUUCUCACAUUCUUUACAACAGAGGACUAAAGAGAAAGCAUUUGUCAGGGUCUGCGACAAUCAUGGUCAUAUCUACUACCAUGUAUUGAGCAAGGAUCUUUGUGAGGUAUUUAUUUAUAUAUUCAUUUAUUUAUAUUUGUCUUCUUGGGGCUCAACCCGCAGCAUAUGGAAGUUCCCAGGCUAGGGGACAAAUUGGAGCUGUAGCUGUACACCACAGCCACAGCAACGUGGGAUCUGAGCCACAUCUGUGACCUACACCACAACUCACAGCAAUGCUGGAUCCUUAAUCCACUGAGUGAGGCCAGGGAUUGAACUCACGCUCUCGUGGACGCUAGCUGGGCUCAUUAUCCCUCAUCCCCAGUGGAAACUCUGGUAUUUAAUUUUCAGUCACUGGAUAAGAACAUUAAGCCAAGGGUACAGAGCAGUAUAUGGCAGGAGUCAGGAUUUGAACCAGGGCAGUAUGGCUCCACAGCCUGGGCUCUGCUGUGCUGUUCUUUCAUACAUCUUGUGCGUGGAGUACAGAGUUCAUGAAGUGGGCACUGCGAAAGGUUUUCUGAGCCUAGGGGAGCAACAGCAAAGGCUCAAUUCUGUAUACAGCCUCUUUCAUUUGUUUUACAACUUAUGAUAAGAGAAAAGUGUGUCUCAAAUGUCCCAUCCCUCUUUGGUAAUGCCUCCAAGGGAAAGCUGGCACUAGCUGCCUUUCCCCUGUCCUCCACUGCAGAUCUUCAACCACCAGGCCCUGGCAAGGGGAAAUCACAGGAAUUAGGGAGGAAAUUAAGGUCAACACAGAGCACGUCUACAGUUUCACCACCUCACUCCGCCCUUCAUUUGCAGCUACACUUUCCCUUGGGGCCAAUGAACAUUGUUUUUUUGUGGGGUUUUUUUUUUUGGUUUUGUUUUGUUUUGUUUUCCUCUGUCAGAGAGGCAACCCAAUCAUGUGAAAAAGAAAUAGGAGAAAGGGUGUGUGAGUGUGUGUGUGUGUUUAAAGAAAAGCAGCAGUGAUUUAGAUCAUUUAGUUUUAUUUCAAUGUAGAAGUAAAGCAUUGAAGUGACUUUCACUUCAUGGUUCCUUUCAGGAUUUUCGACUUAGAAAAAGAAGGAUUUUGGUGACACAAAGUGGCUUUAAGGUAUCUAUUCAAAUCUAAAUUUCACACACACACACACACACACACACACACACACACACACACAGCUUCGGAAUACAAAAUCUUUUAGGUGCCUAUUUCUUUUGUAUGUCAAACUCUGAAAAACACCAUGGGGCUGUGGGUUUAGAAACUGUUCAGCAGUUCUAAGAAACACCCAUUGAUAGCAAUAAGAACUAUUCCGUGUAUUUACAGAACAGCUUCUACCACUGGAUCAUUAAGGCAUACUUUAAUUGUGAGGUCACUGAUGUUGUGUAAGUUUAGAAGUCAUGGGGUGAUCUCUUCCUUAAGGGAGUUCUGACAUGUCUUUGGCAAAAGCUUUCAUAUGUUAUGGAUUGAUGCCACUCACAGUUCUUGGCUCAGGGAUAUAAAUCAGGUUGUAGCAUGAAUAAGUUACAUUUGAAGUCUAACUUUCUGAUAUAAGGAAAGAGGGAAAUGAGGUUAUUUAAACCAUCCAUGUUUACAUGGUGGCUAUCUUUUAACAAAAAUUCUUCUCAAGCUAUGAAAAACUAUCAUAUAUUAUCAAAUGUAGUUUUGUCCUCUGAUAGACAAAGGAGCAGUGUUUAGAUCAUCUGAAGAACCCAUGCGGUUAAAAGUUGCAAACAAAUGUGGUCCUGUUGUCCUCUCCGGAUCCUUCUGAAAGCCCUGUGUACAGAGUUCAGACAGAGAGCCCCAGGAGGGUGGUCAGGACUGAGAAUGAGCUCUCCUCUAAGCCAGUCAUUUACCAACACGCCUCGGGCUGAGAGGCAGGCUCAGGGUGCCAUUCCCAUAUUGCAUCAUCCACUCCGAUGACCUUGUAUGCCAGGCUAAAUUCUUCCAUUCUCCAAUUGGCUUUUACAUAAAAUGGAUGAAUAAUGAAACUUAGAACUAGCCUGAGAGGAAAGUAGACAAUAACAUUUUUUCCCCUUUUAAGCAUUAUUCUGAAGAUGUAAUCAAAUAACCCCUAGCUGUUCUAUGCAGUAAUUACAUUUUAAAGUUGUGCCAAUCAUUCAUAUAGAGCACAACACAGAAUAGGAGGCUGCUUGAUGUGCUAUGAAUAACAUUUAAACAAAGAUUGUACUUUUUGUUGUGUCUUUUCCACCAUUUAGCAUCUACUAAACUGGAUAAUGACUAAGUAAUAUAUAUGAAAAAUACACCAUGUGUGUGUGGGUAUAUGUGUGUGUGUCAGUAUAUUUUGUUUCUUUAUAUUAAGUACACUUUGAGUCCAUGUCAUGAAUAAGGCAAUGGGUUGUGGUCUAUGGUUAGGUUUACAAGAAUCUGCUAGCAUUCUUUUAUUUUAUUUAUUUAUUUAUUUAUUUAUUUAUUUAUUUAUUUUGUUUGUUUUUGUCUUUUUGCUAUUUCUUUGGGCCGCACCCGCGGCAUAUGGAGGUUCUCAGGCUAGGGGUCGAAUCAGAGCUGUAGCUGUUGGCCUACACCAGAGCCACAGCAACGCAAGAUCCGAGCCGCGUCUGCAACCUACACCACAGCUCAUGGCAACGCCGGAUUGUUAACCCACUGAGCAAGGGCAGGGACCGAACCCACAACCUCAUGGUUCCUAGUCGGAUUCAUUAACCACUGCGCCACGAUGGGAACUCCCUAGCAUUCUUUUAGAAUCACUUCCAUUAAUUAAAUAGCAUCAGGCAGCAUUUGAUGACAAGAGGAAACUAGAAGGCAAGGACUUUCUAAAUGCCAGAAGGGUUAAAUGCAAUGGAUGACACAGCUGACAUUAUCAAGCAGUCUUGUAUCGUUAAUGUCAUUUAUAAUUCAACACACAUUUUUAAUAGGAAUUAAAUGAAUCUUGUGGAGAAUUUCAGGAUAAGUCCAUUACAUAAAAUGAAAAAUACCAGCUUGGGUCCAGUGACACUUUGCCCUUUGGAAGUGGGGUUGACAUUUUCUAGCACUGAGGCUGUUUAUUCAGGUCUUGGGUUAUCUUAUCAUCGAUCAUUAUUCAGUUCUGUGAAUGAUCAGUGUGCUCAUGAAAGACAUUAUGCUUUGCUUGUUGCCUCUUAAACAGAAACAAAAAAUUAGGAUAUGGGACCAUGACCCAUGAUGCGACUGAUACAAAGAAAAUAGUGAGACUUUAUCCUUGUAGAAAAGCAGGUAGCUGAUAGAUUUAUUUCCCUCUAAAAUGUAUUCUUUUGGCAGAAUAAAACCACAAGUAGUAAGGUUGGAAAAUAAAAUAUACAUCAGUAAAGAUAAAUGAUAAAAUUUGCUGUUUAUUUUGCCAGUACAUUUUUUUUUUUUUCCUACCAAAGCUUUGCCUCCCACUUUGCGUGCUAUUUAUUUUCUGGACUUGAGUUAAAACACUUCUACUUUGGAGCAAAAUUUCUUCCUAAAUACAUCUAAGUUGGUAUAAAAUAGUAGGUAUAAUAUAGAUACAGUGAAAUGGAAGCUAGCCUACCAAUGAUUUUCUGAAUACGAUUCAUGGUUACAUUGCAAUUUAUAUCAAAAUAUAAUUCUGACAGUAUGCCAUAGACUAACAAGGUUCUAAAUAAUAUAUCUGGUAAGAAUAACAUUUAACAUCAGAAUGUGCAGGAACGUGUUCCUGAGUGAGCAAGAGAUGGAAUUUGCCCGAAAGUGACUGCAAGAGCUCAAGAGUUGGUAUCUUGGCCUCGCCUCAAUCACUCGUGUGCUCUUUACCUGUAGUGUGUUGACUGUGUGCAUUAGUUACAGACUGACAGCACUACAAUCAGCCCGCAUCAAUGAGUGUUGUUUGGUACAGUAAGCUGGAAAAUGUAAAUAGUGAUUUCAUUACAAUGGAAAAAACGGGUUUCUGGAGUUCCCGUUGUGGCUUAGCAGGUUAAGAACUUGAUGUAGUAUCCAUGAGGAUAUGGAUUUGAUCCCUGGCCUUGCUCAGUGGGUUAAGGAUCUGGCAUUGCCGCAAGCUGUGACGUAGGUGCAGCUCAGAUCCAGUGUUGCCGUGGCUGUGGUUGUAGGCCAGGAGCUGCAGUUCUGAUUUGACCCUAGCCUGGGAAAUUCCAUAUG
rnacentral:lncRNA from 1 species